rnacentral:rRNA from 1 species
UGCGUAGGCGGCCUGACAAGUCAGAAGUGAAAGGCUACGGCUCAACCGUGGUAAGCUUUUGAAACUGUCAGGCUUGAGUGCAGGAGAGGAGAGCGGAAUUCCUGGUGUAGCGGUGAAAUGCGUAGAUAUCAGGAAGAACACCAGUAGCGAAGGCGGCUCUCUGGACUGAAACUGACGCUGAGGCACGAAAGCGGUGGGGAGCGAACA